rnacentral:rRNA from 1 species
UCUUGUGAAAUCUAAUGGCUUAACCAUUAAACUGCUUGGGAAACUGAUAGUCUAGAGUGAGGGAGAGGCAGAUGGAAUUGGUGGUGUAGGGGUAAAAUCCGUAGAUAUCACCAAGAAUACCCAUUGCGAAGGCGAUCUGCUGGAACUCAACUGACGCUAAGGCGCGAAAGCGUGGGGAGCAAACAGGAUUAGAUACCCUGGUAGUCCACGCCCUAAACGAUGUACACUAGUUGUUGGGAUGCUAGUCAUCUCAGUAAUGCAGCUAACGCAUUAAGUGUACCGCCUGGGGAGUACGGUCGCAAGAUUAAAACUCAAAGGAAUAGACGGGGACCCGCACAAGCGGUGGAGCAUGUGGUUUAAUUCGAAGAUACGCGAAGAACCUUACCUGGGCUUGAUAUCCUAAGAACCUUAUAGAGAUAUGAGGGUGCUAGCUUGCUAGAACUUAGAGACAGGUGCUGCACGGCUGUCGUCAGCUCGUGUCGUGAGAUGUUGGGUUAAGUCCCGCAACGAGCGCAACCCACGUAUUUAGUUGCUAACGGUUCGGCCGAGCACUCUAAAUAGACUGCCUUCGUAAGGAGGAGGAAGGUGUGGACGACGUCAAGUCAUCAUGGCCCUUAUGCCCAGGGCGACACACGUGCUACAAUGGCAUAUACAAUGAGACGCAAUACCGCGAGGUGGAGCAAAUCUAUAAAAUAUGUCCCAGUUCGGAUUGUUCUCUGCAACUCGAGAGCAUGAAGCCGGAAUCGCUAGUAAUCGUAGAUCAGCCAUGCUACGGUGAAUACGUUCCCGGGUCUUGUACUCACCGCCCGUCACACCAUGGGAGUUGAUUUCACUCGAAGCCGGAAUACUAAACUAGUUACCGUCCACAGUGGAAUCAGCGACUGGGGUGAAGUCGUAACAAGGUAACCGUAGGAGAACCUGCGGUUGGAUCACCUCCUUU